GAUGAACGCUGACAGAAUGCUUAACACAUGCAAGUCAACUGUGGCGGACGGGUGAGUAACGCGAAAAGAACUUGCCUCCCAGCUAGGGACAACAUUUGGAAACGAAUGCUAAUACCUGAUACUGUGAGAGAGCUUUGCGUCCCAUUAGCUAGUUGUAGAGGUAACGGCUCACCAAGGCGAUGAUGGGUAGCCGGCCUGAGAGGGUGAUCGGCCACAAGGGGACUGAGUACCGGCCCUUACUCUUCGGGGAGGAAGCAGUGGGGAAUAUUGGACAAUGGACCAAAGUCUGAGCGAGACAUUCUGUGUGAAAGAUGAAGUUUUCGGAAUGGAAAGUGCUUUCAGUUGGGAAGCGGUACCAACAGAAGAAGCGACGGCUAAAUACGUGCCAGCCGCCGCGGUAAUAC
rnacentral:rRNA from 1 species